UACGUAGGGGGCGAGCGUUGUCCGGAGUUACUGGGCGUAAAGCGCACGCAGGCGGUCUGCUAAGUUUGGAGUGACAGUUGGUGGCUUAACUGCCAAAGUGCUUCGAAAACUGACAGACUUGAGGGCUUCAGAGGGACACGGAAUCCGGGUGGAGUGGUGAAAUGCGUAGGAGAUCCGGAGGAACACCAAAGGCGAAGGCAGUGUCCUGGGGAGUACCUGACGCUCAGGUGCGAAAGCCAGGGGAGCGAACGGG
rnacentral:rRNA from 1 species